AUUGAGCGCUGGCGGCAAGCCUAACACAUGCAAGUCGAGCGGAUGAAGGGAGCUUGCUCCUGGAUUCAGCGGCGGACGGGUGAGUAAUGCCUAGGAAUCUGCCUGGUAGUGGGGGAUAACGUCCGGAAACGGGCGCUAAUACCGCAUACGUCCUGAGGGAGAAAGUGGGGGAUCUUCGGACCUCACGCUAUCAGAUGAGCCUAGGUCGGAUUAGCUAGUUGGUGGGGUAAAGGCCUACCAAGGCGACGAUCCGUAACUGGUCUGAGAGGAUGAUCAGUCACACUGGAACUGAGACACGGUCCAGACUCCUACGGGAGGCAGCAGUGGGGAAUAUUGGACAAUGGGCGAAAGCCUGAUCCAGCCAUGCCGCGUGUGUGAAGAAGGUCUUCGGAUUGUAAAGCACUUUAAGUUGGGAGGAAGGGCAGUAAGUUAAUACCUUGCUGUUUUGACGUUACCAACAGAAUAAGCACCGGCUAACUUCGUG
rnacentral:rRNA from 1 species